AGAUUGAACGCUGGCGGCAGGCCUAACACAUGCAAGUCGAGCGGUAGAGAGGUGCUUGCACCUCUUGAGAGCGGCGGACGGGUGAGUAAUGCCUAGGAAUCUGCCUAGUGGUGGGGGAUAACGUUCGGAAACGGACGCUAAUACCGCAUACGUCCUACGGGAGAAAGCGGGGGACCUUCGGGCCUCGCGCCAUUAGAUGAGCCUAGGUCGGAUUAGCUAGUUGGUGAGGUAAUGGCUCACCAAGGCGAACGAUCCGUAACUGGUCUGAGAGGAUGAUCAGUCACACUGGAACUGAGACACGGUCCAGACCUCCGUACGGGAGCAGCAGGUGGGAAUUAGUGGACAAGUCGGGACGAAA
rnacentral:rRNA from 1 species